GGGGAAGUGGCGCAAUGGUGUAAGUCUUGCUUCUUCAAAAUUCGGAUUUCCAAAAUAGGAAAAUUCCGAUUUCCAAAACAGGGAGCAGAAGCUGACUAUUCCUAAAAGAGCGCGUUAGAUUCCAGCGCUAAGCUUAAUCGGGAUUCCUAAAGGUCAGCAUUCAAAGAAUUCAAUUCUUCAAAUUUCCAUAUUAACACUCUACUAGGUUGUGGGUUCAAUUCCUACCUUCCUCA
rnacentral:tRNA from 1 species